CCCCAAAAUCGGGCCCAAAUUCCUGCAAAAUCAGCCCAAAAUCGGCCCCAAAAUCGGCCCCAAAUUCCUGCAAAAUCAGCCCUAAAAUCGGGCUCCAAAAUCAGCCAAAAAUCCCCCAAAUUAACCCCAAAAUCGGGCCCAAAAUUCCUGCAAAAUCAGCCCCAAAAUCGGGCCCAAAAUCGGCCAAAAAUCCCCCAAAUUAACCCCAAAAUCGGGCCCAAAUUCCUGCAAAAUCAGCCCCAAAAUCGGGCCCAAAAUCGGCCAAAAAUCCCCCAAAUUAACCCCAAAAUCAGCCCCAAAAUCAGGCCCAAAAUCGGCCAAAAAUCCCCCAAAAUCGGCCAAAAAUUCCUGCAAAAUCAGCCCCAAAAUCGGCCCCAAAAUCGGCAAAAAAUCCCCCAAAUUAACCCCGAAAUCGGCCAAAAAUCAGCCCCAAAAUCGGGCCCAAAAAUCGGGCCCAAAAUCGGCCAAAAAUCCCCCAAAUUAACCCCGAGAUCGGCCCCAAAUUCCUGCAAAAUCAGCCCCAAAAUCGGGCCCAAAAUCGGCCCCAAAUCCCCCAAAUUAGCCCCAAAAUCGGGCCCAAAAUUCCUGCAAAAUCAGCCCCAAAUUAACCCCAAAAUCGGCCAAAAAUCCCCCAAAUUAACCCCAAAAUCGGGCCCAAAUUCCUGCAAAAUCAGCCCAAAAAUCGGGCCCAAAAUCGGCCAAAAAUCCCCCAAAUUAACCCCGAAAUCGGCCCCAAAAUCGGGCCCAAAUCCCCCCAAAAUCGGCCCCAAAUUCCUGCAAAAUCAGCCCCAAAAUCCCCCAAAAAUCAACCCCAAAAUCUCCCAAAUUCAGCCCCAAAAUCAACCCCAAAUUCCCUCAAAUCGGCCCCAAAAUUUGCCCGAAAUCCCCCCAAAAUUCCCCAAAAUUCAACCCCAAAAUCCUCCAAAAUCAGCCCAAAAUCGGCCCCGAAAUUCCCCAAAAUCCGCCCAAAAUCGCCCAAAAAUCAACCCCAAAAUCCUCCAAAAUCCUCCAAAAAUCAACCCCAAAAUCCCCCAAAAUUCCCCCAAAUUUGCCCCAAAUCCCCCCAAAAUCCGCCCCAAAUUUUCUCCCCAAAUUUCCCAAAUUCCCCUCAAAUUCCCGAAAUUUUCUCCCCAAAAUCCGCCCCAAAUUUUCUCCCCGAAUUUCCCAAAUUCCCCCCAAAAUUCCCGAAAUUUUCUCCCCAAAUUUUCUCCCCAAUUUCUCCCCAAAAAUUCCCCAAAUCCCCCCCAAAAUCCGCCCCAAAUUUUCUCCCCGAAUUUCCCAAAUUCCCCCCAAAAUUCCCGAAAUUUUCUCCCCAAAUUUUCUCCCCAAUUUCUCCCCAAAAAUUCCCCAAAUCCCCCCAAAAUCCGCCGCAAAUUUUCUCCCCGAAUUUCCCAAAUUCCCCUCAAAUUCCCGAAAUUUUCUCCCCAAAAUCCGCCCCAAAUUUUCUCCCCGAAUUUCCCAAAUCCCCCCAAAUUCCCCCCAAAUUCUCCCCAAAUUCCCCAAAUUUUUUCCCCAAAUUUUCUCCCCAAUUUUCUCCCCAAAUUCCCCCAAAAAUUCCCCAAAUUCUCCCCAAAUUUUCGCCCCAAAUCCCCCAAAAUCCCUCAAAUUCUCCCCGAAAAUUCCCCCCCAAACCCCUCCCCUCCCCCUCCCCCAUUUUUUUGGGGUCUCCCCUGA
rnacentral:lncRNA from 1 species